GUUAAGAUGGCAGAGUUGAUAAUUGUAUAAAGUUUAAGCCUUUAUUCCCAGAGGUUCAAACCUCUUAAUAAUA
rnacentral:tRNA from 1 species